UCUAAAGAUAAGGAAUUUAGGCUGUACUAAAAUUGGAACAAUACAGAGAAGAUGAGCAUCACGCCUGCCCAAGGAUGACACACAAAUUUUCGAAGCAUUCCAUAUUAAA